GAUGAAGAACGUAGCAAAAUGCGAUAAGUAAUGUGAAUUGCAGAAUUCAGUGAAUCAUCGAAUCUUUGAACGCACAUUGCGCCCGCCAGUAUUCUGGCGGGCAUGCCUGUUCGAGCGUCAUUUCAACCCUCAAGCACAGCUUGGUGUUGGGACUCGCGUUAAUUCGCGUUCCCCAAAUUGAUUGGCGGUCACGUCGAGCUUCCAUAGCGUAGUAGUAAAACCCUCGUUACUGGUAAUCGUCGCGGCCACGCCGUUAAACCCCAACUUCUUAAUGUUGACCUCGGAUCAGGUAGGAAUACCCGCUGAACUUAAGCAUAUCAAUAAGCGGAGGA
rnacentral:misc_RNA from 1 species